rnacentral:rRNA from 1 species
UACGGAGGGUGCGAGCGUUGUCCGGAAUCACUGGGCGUAAAGGGCGCGUAGGCGGUUUGGUAAGCGUGCGGUGAAAGCCCGGGGCUCAACCCCGGGUCGGCCGUGCGGACUGCGAGACUGGAGCACUGUAGAGGCGGGUGGAAUUCCGGGUGUAGCGGUGGAAUGCGUAGAGAUCCGGAAGAACACCGGUGGCGAAGGCGGCCUGCUGGGCAGUAGCUGACGCUGAGGCGCGACAGCGUGGG